rnacentral:rRNA from 1 species
AUGGAGGAGAUGCCAAGCGAGAAGAAACAAAGUGAAUCUGGAUCAAUUAAUUGCGCACCUAGUUCAAGCAGCAGCCAGGACAUUCCCAAUUCACUGGUGAAUAAAGAUGAAGACCUCGCUAUUGGGGUGGUAACAGAGUUAAAGAAGGAGGGGACGCCCAUUGAACAGAAGGAGGAAAGGGCGUCAACGGCCAUCGACUUGAAGGAGGAGGGUACAACCACCCAACUGAAGGAGGAAGGGGCUUCCAAGGAGGAUGAGGCAGCUGUUGACUCCAAGGAAGAGGGGGCGAAAACCGAAUUGGAGGAAAAGACGAUGUUAUCCCAGAAGAGAGACUAUGAGAAGGCUAUCGAACUUAAGGGAGAGGGGACAAGGCUAUUCCAGAGGCGGGAUUAUGAGGGGGCGGCUCUUGAGUUUGAUAAGGCAAUAAAGCUUUUGCCAAAGGGGCACGAUGAUAUCGCCUUCCUCCACUGCAAUAUUGCUGCAUGUUACAUGCACAUGAAACCUGAGAGUUAUGAACGAGCGGUUGACGAGUGCAACGCAGCACUGGAAGCAUCGCCGAAGUAUACAAAUGCAUUGCUGAAAAGGGCACGAUGCUUUGAAGCAUUGGAUAGGCUGGAUCUGGCUUGUGAGGAUGUGCAGAAGGUGCUGAGCUUGGAACCAAACAAUGUCACUGCAUUGGAGCUCUACGAGAGCCUUAGGGAGGAGAUGGAGACAGAAAAUUUAUUGGAGAAUCAGGUUGUGUCACCGGUAGAGCCUAAGGCCGGUUUUUCAAAAGAGAAGAUCCAGAGGAAAGUAUCUCGCAGAUUUAGAAACAAUUCCAUAGUUGAGGAGGUGUGGUUGAUUCACGAUGACGAUGAGCAAGAGAAUGAUGAAGAUGGCAACGAAGAAGAGUGCAGUGAAGAAAACCACAUGGAGAAUGACUUAAGCAAUGAAGGAAAUGAUACCCGGGAGAUGCCAUCGAGACAUAAUCAUGACGAGGAUAAAAGGAACACGGAACAGAACCAGGUGAAGCAUGGUCAGCACAAACUAGGAGCAGAUGAUGAAGGCCAACGACUGCAGCAUGCUCCGAGGGAUGCGGAACAAAUGCACCACAAAGAAACAGAGAGUCAAAAUACGCAUGAAAAGCCCCUCAAAGAGAUAAAGGUGAGAAGUGGUCAGGAUCAGCAGGUAAUGCAUACAAAGCAGAAUCAAGUCGCCGAUAUGGAUGUGCGUCAAAAGCAAAUUGAGGAUGUACCAACCACUAGCCGUAGCAACCAAGAAAUUCACUCUGAGAUGUAUGAAAGGUUUAUCAAUGGCAACCAAGCAAGACGCUCCUUAAAGCGGCAUACUAGUCGUGGCGGGGACAAGCAGGAAAAGCAAACUUCAGUUAAACUAGCAAGUCCUGGGGGAGAUGAGCACCAAAAACAGAAGCGCGCAUAUGCUAGCGAUGGAGAAACAAAGACUGUAAAGUUUGUUAUGGGAGAUGACAUAAGGAUUGCACUUGUUCCAGAAGACUGUAGUCUACGGCAAGCGAUAAAUGUAGCUCGGUGUAAGUACAGUCCCCACCUGAAGGCAAUGCUUCUUAAGUUUCAGGACAUAGAGGGUGACUUGGUGACAAUUACAUCAACUGAGGAACUAAGGUGGGUUGAGGAUCUGAAGCAAGGACCCGCUCGGCUGUACAUAAAAGAAGUAAGUCCUGAGCGCGAGAUCACCAAGGACAUCGUCAUGCCCAAUAUUUCUACGGCAACACUGGAAAGAAAGCAUAGCAUCUCUGAGUGCGGAAGCGCUAGACACCCAGCAGAAGACAAGAGCUCAUCAUAUGCUGAUGACUGGAUGGUGCAGUUCGCUCGUCUAUUCAAGAACCAUGUUGGUUUUGAUUCUGAUGCAUUAGUGGAUCUCCGUGACCUUGGUACGCGGCUGUGCAUUGAGGCAAUGGAAGACACCAUCACAAGCGAAGAAGCCCAGGAGAUAUUUCAUGCCGCAGAGGCAAAAUUUCAGGAAAUGGCAGCUUUAGCAUUGUUUAACUGGGGCAACAUACACAUGUCUCGUGCAAAGAAACGACUAUCUUUAUCAGAGGAUGCUUCAAAGGACUCUGUACUUUCCCAGGUCAAAACCGCAUACGAACUGGCAUGCGCUGAAUACGUCAAAGCUGGAAAGAAGUUUGAAGAUACCGUGGAUGUAAAGCCAGACUUUUAUGAAGGCCUUAUUGCGCUUGGAAAUCAACAGUUUGAGCAAGCAAAACUUUCUUGGCGUUAUGCAGAUGCUUGUAAGGUAGACAUGCGAACUGAAGUACUAGAGCUAUUCAAUCGUGCUGAGGAUAAUAUGGAAAAAGGAAUGGAGAUGUGGGAGGGAAUAGAAUACUUGCGACUAAAAGGGUUAUCUAAAUCAAAAAAGGAGAAAAUCCUACUGGAUAAGUUGGGAUUGGAUGGGCACCAAAAAGAUUUAACAGCAGAUGAAGCGUUUGAGCAAGCUUCAAAUAUGCGAUCACAGCUAAACAUUUCAUGGGCUACCAUUCUUUAUGAGCGAUCAGUAGUAGAAUUCCAGUUAGGUCUUGCUAGCUGGGAGGAGAGUCUCACCGAAGCAAUUGAGAAAUUUAAGACCGGUGGAGCUUCGCUGGCAGAUAUCAGUGUAAUGAUAAAGAACCAUUGUGCGAAUGAGAAAACUCAAGAAGGAUUGAGCUUCAAGAUUGAUGAGAUAGUUCAAGCAUGGAACGAAAUGUACGAUGCUAAAAAGUUGGAAAAUGGUAGUUCUUCUUUCCGUCUUGAACCUUUAUUUCGAAGACAGCCUUCGAAGUUGCAUAAUGUACUAGAGCACAUAAAGUACACAUGA